AAAUAAUUAAGUUCGUUUACGAAUCAAAUAAUCAACUAUCUAACUUUUACACUUGUAAUAGUACUCUCGAAAUAAAAUGGACAGAUAUAAUAAUUUUGUUCAGCUAACGGUAAUUAUAACACCUAAAACUAAUCGAGAUAAAUAUAGAGUUAUACAUACAUACAUUUGUAUAUAAAUGAUUAAGAUGAGGAGACGAGUUGAAUCCCGGAUGAUUGAUUAUCCGUCCGUCAAAGCGACUUUCAUUAUCAACAUGAUAUUAAUGAGACUAGUUCGGUUCGGUUCUCUGAAUAUUUGGAAAAUAUCCAUUGGAUUAUAGGUAUAUUUCUCAGUUACUUUGUUUCGAAGUGUUCAUUCGGACUUUACCUUCCUUAUGUUACUUGGAUGUUGUUUACUAUUUUCCUCGGAUAUUUGCUUACGUGCUACGUAAAAAAAUAAUACAAUGAGUACACAGCUGAGAGCUUCGAAACUGAGCUAAAAGCGAAAACAACAAAGAAAAAAUCACGUCCGGUGAUUUUUUGAACAAAAUUCUUAUCGUUAUAUAUUUUUGUAUAAUGGACUUUAUUUAUGAUAAUGUUGAAAAUAUUUAUUAUUAAUAAGAUGAAAUAAAAUGUAAUUUUUUACAAUUACAUACACAUGUACAUACAUAUAAGUUGAAAUUAUAUUAUAUAAAAACCUAAUAGCGUCAGAGCUUCUCUAUUGAGAAAAGUGUAUAGCUAAUGGCCACAAUUGUCGCAAGAUUUUUAUUUAUAUAAGUAGAACUGGCUUGUUCAAUAUCAGUUCCAAAAUGUAUUCGACUGUAGUGACUUGUUCGUUAGUACUAUUGGCAACGCUAUCAGCGCACGUAGUGUCUGGUUAUACUCCAGCUGCUGUUCCACCUCCAAGAUGUAGACCAGGACUUAUUGUUGACUGCAACCAUCAAAACGAGGACCUGGUUUGGUGUAAGGAUGAAAAUAAUGAGUGUAAAACGAUUUUGAACUCAUGUCUUUUCGAUCAAGCCAACUGUGCGCGUUAUCGCCUCGGACGGCCACUACUCCAAUUAAUAUCGAAGGAAGAAUGUCAAAGAUUAUGUAUCAAUGAUUGUUCCAAUGCACCACAAGAAAUUAUUUGUACUCAUCGUGGUGGAAAAUAUUGCACAUUUCCCAGCCAUUGCGAAUGGACGAAGCAUUUAUGCAAUACGGGCGAAUUUUGGUUCCAAGAGGGUCAACUUCCCUGUGGUCCAAAUCCAGUUAAGUGCUUCCCUUAACUGUUGUACGUUUUUUGAAAGUUGAUUUUAAGAAAUGAAGUUUUAACUAACGAAACAAAAUAUAUGUAUAAGAGAUAUUCUUUUGCUCUUGAAAACCCAAAGUUUUCCAAUCAGUACAAUGGCGCAGCAAAAGAACACAUGCAAAACAGAAUAUGCAAGGGCUGCAAUAUAUGCCACAUCAACACCCAUGAGCUUGCUAUCAUAUACAUAUACACACAUACAUUUCGCUUAUAUAAUAUUUCUGUUUCUGAAAUUACAAUAGGUGUUUUAGCGCUCUUGCAUAUUUUGGAUUUUCGCAAUCGUGCAAUCUUGCAAGAGCAAGAGAAUAAACAAAGUUUGCGAAAUUGAAAUCACCUAACGGGUUUUAUAUACUGGACAAUAAUAAAGACCAUAUUUCGUAAAGAUGAUUUUUCAUAUAAACAAGUUUUCCAUGCAAGGACUUAAUUUUCAUCGAUCAGUUCGUAUGGCCGUUAUAUGCUAUAGUGGUACGAUUUCGGUGGUUCCGACAGUCUCUUGGAGUAGAAAGGACAUGCGCAAAAUUUCAGAUCGAUAUCUCAAAAACUGAGGGACUAAUUCGUGUAUAUACAGCCCGACAGACGGACGAAUAUGGCUAAAUCGACUCAGUUUGUCACGCGGAAAAAUUAUAUAUAAAUUUUAUAGGGUCUCCGACGUUUCCUUCCGAGUGUUACAAACGUCGUGAAAAACUUAUUAUUCUCUGUUCAGGAUAUAACCAGUAAGGAGGCGCUAAGUUCGGGUAUAACCGAACAUUUUACACUCUCAUAAUUUGCAAGGAUCAAAGCAAUUAAACUUUAAAAUGAACAAUUAAAUUAAAUGAAUUUAUUAAAUAAGUAAGGAACGGCUAAGUUCGGGUGUAACCGAGCCCUUUAUAGUAUCGAAAUACUUUAUAUUGAAAUAUAAUAUUUAGUGUAAAAAUUCACACGAUUUUAUCUUUAUAGUAAGAAUGGGGCUUCGAAAAAUACUGUUUUGAUUUUACCUAUUUUUGACACGAGUAUUUCAAUACAAGAUCUCACGGAUCGACCGACAUUUGGAGGUUUAAAAAGUUAUAGUCCGAUUUCGACAAUUUUUAGACGAGAUAUCAAAUACCUUAAAGCCACUAUUUGUGCAAAGUUUUAUUUCAUCAGUUUUGCCAAGGCAUAAAAUAACAAGACUGAGGAUGAAGAAUGGAAAAAAUUUAUUUUUUCAGAUGAGUACAAAUUGUUAUAUGGUCCGGCCUAAAGCGCUAAAUAUGUUUCGUUUCUACCAAAAUGAACUCAGAGUAUUACGUGUAGCUGUUGAAUAAAGUUUUGUUGAAGAUUUUGUUGAUCCUGCGUUCCUUCUUGGCAGGCUAACGCAGCGAUUCAUUGGACAAAGAAAACUAAAGAGUUUUGUAAUCUAAUGGCUCCAUCACAUAUUCGGACAGAAGUUUUCCUAAUAUUAGUGUGCACCAGACAUAAAAACAAAAAAGUAGAAUGUGCUGUUCGAUUCGAUUAUCGUCUACAUAACUGAAAAAGAAAACUUAACUCUUUUAAAUAAAUACAUAAGCUGUCAAUUAAAAAAAAAAAAACAAAACAACGAAUAAUCGGACAAAACAUUUUGACAAACCUCAGGCUCUAUGGAAUUCCAAGCCCUUAAUAAAGCCUCCUUUAGCUGACCUAAAGUCUUAUUAAUUCCUCCCACAAAUGAUCGAUUGAAGUUAGGGCUCUGCGCUGGUCUUUGUAUUAGUUUGGUGAGGUUUGGCAGUUGUGUAUUAACCAAAGCUUUGCAAUGCCCUAAAUGUGCUUGGAGUUGUUGUCCUAAUAGAAAGCAAAAUUGUUCACGAUACCCAACUUCUCCGCACUUUGCUUAACAUUUUCUUUCAAAACAUUGAAAUAGCCUUUGUCCAUUUUACCAUCAAUACAAUGGAGGAGUUGCUUACUCCAGCACUCAACAUAUAGCUCCAAACCCAAUAAAUGUUAUUAACAUUCUUUGGUGUAUUGUAACUCAGAUAUUGUAUGGCAAGCCAAGUAACAGUGUGAACAUUAAAAAAAUGUAUUCCGAAUCUCAAUCACCGGCAAGCAAGCCGAAAGUGUUGUGGAUAAAAAGAAAUUCGUUAUACUUUGGAAUAUGACCACAUUAUUAAUUUGCAUUCCGAAACAAUUCGAAACGGUCUGAGAAAAAGCAGUUUUCUUAGGUACGUAAGCGAAAAAAACCUAUUUAUAGGAGAAAUUGACAAAAAAAAUAACUCUACUUCUUAGUACCGAAAUACCGACAAAUCAAGGAAAUUUAUCGUAUAGUGGUAAAAACAAGUUUAACUUAUUCGGUUGUGAUGGCGAACAAAAAUUUUAGUGCCAAGCGAACGAAGAACUUCUGUUGAAAAAUAUAUUAUAUGUACAAUAGAUAGCUGUGUUGAUUAGGAGAUCUCGGCAAGCAAAUUGGAUCUUGAUGGCGCCUAAUAUUUCCAUCAGGAUAUUGACCAAAAGCACACAAGCCAUAUUUUCAAGGAGUGUUCACUUUACAAUGUACCCAAACAGCUCCAUUCGCCACCACAGUCACCGAAACUUAACCCGACAGAAAAUUUGAGGUAUAAAUUAAAGCAGUGUUUUUCAAUCUUUUUGAUUUCGCGACCCCUUUACAGGUUGAAAUAUUCUGGCGACCCCCUUGUGUCAUAGUAAGUCAAAGAAAUAAUUUAAUUUUAAUUAAAAGACUACAUACGUUAGGUAAUAAGUUUUUCCUAUUUUGGCAAAUUUAUCUAUUAUUCGCGCGGGUCAUACUGCAUCGGCGACGGCGACGUUGCCACACCGCAAGACAUGAUUGUCGUUGCCGUAACAGCGUAAAAAUAUAAAAUGGAUAAAUUUCUCAAAAGAUCGCAGCCUUCAACAUCUGGUACGAGUAUCAAUAGCGGUGGUGGUGAAUCGAAUCCGAAAAAAAAUAGACAUUAUGAUGACAGUUAUUUGAAAUACGGGUUCAUAGUCGUAAAUAAUAAACAUCAAUGUGUAAUUUGCGGCGAUGUUUUAUCACGUGAGAGUAUGAAACCGUAAAAGCGUAUGCGGCAUCUCACAACCAAGGAUCAAAAAGAAGCUGAUAAGCCGUGGGAUUUCUUUGAACAAAAGUUGAAAGCUCUUAGUCAGCAGCAAAAUACUAUAAUUAAGGCAUCCAGUGUCAACGAUCAACGUUAUUAGCUAGCUACAAAGUCGCAUAUCGAGUUGCUAAAGCAGGGAAACCACAUACAAUUGCCGAAAAUCUUAUUUUGCUAGCGGCACUCGAUAUGGUGGAAAUUAUAGUCAGUAAGCAGGAGGCAAACAAAUUUAAAAAAAUACAACUUUCUGACAAUACUAUUUCACGCAGAAUAAACGAUAUGGCCAAGGAUAUUCAAGAACAAGUAGUCGAAAAAUUAAAGAAUAGCCAACAUUUUGCCUUGCAGUUCGAUGGAUCUACAGAUGUUUCCGACUGUGCACAGUUUGUAGUAUUUGUGCGCUUUGAAGCAGAUGACAGUAUUACGGAAGAAAUCUUAUUUUGCAAAGCACUUCCUGCAAACACUGCUGGCCAGUGUUUGUACGAUAUGUUUUUAGAAAGCACUUGCGACUACGAUAUUGAUUGGAAAAAAUGUAUCGCUAUUUGUAGCGAUGGAGCUAAAGCUAUGACUGGCAAAAAUAGCGGACUCAUUGCAAAAUUAAAAUCGAUAAUACCAAACAUAUCCUGGACACGUUAAAUGAUGUGCUCAAGGAGGUAAUAAAAAUUGUGAAUUCUAUCAAAGGUAAAGCUUUGCAAACCCGGCUAUUCAGAAUCGUUUGUGAAGAUAUGGGCUCGCUUUAUCAAAAUCUCCUUUAUCACACAGAGAUCAGGUGGCUAUCCAAAGGUAUUGACAAGAGUUCUGGAACUGAGAGCUGAAUUGUUAAUGUUCUUACAAGAUGCAAAAUCAGAAUAUGCUUACCGUUUUUCUGACCCUAUUUGGCUCUUGAAAUUAGCAUUUUUGGCAGAUCUUUUUAGCCACCUAAACAAUUUGAACAAGAACCUUCAAGGAAGAGAAGAAAAGAUUUUAACAGCUAAAGAUAAUGUAAAAGCAUUUCACGCAAAACUUCGUUUGUGGUCGACCUCUCUGCAAAACAAAAUGUUUGAGUCUUUUCCGUGUGCUCAGAAGAUUGUUGAAGAUAAUGCAUCAGACCAAAGUUUUGCAGUAUCGGCUCAUAUUCCUUGCAUGAUACAAAGCUUGCAUAAUUUACAAGAUAAACUUUUGACAUACUUUCCAGACUUGCACUCUGAAGCUGACAAUGGGUGUGAUGGAUUUUAAGCCCUUUUUUGGACAAAUCAAUAAAUCUGGCUGAUGUCAACACAAAAAUGAAAGAAUGUCUUCUAGAAUUAGCUACUGAUGGCAUGCUUAAAAUGGAAUUUUAUUCGCAAAUUGUCGACGUAUUUCGGAUGAAAAGAAAACACGAAUAUCCAGAGCUGGCAAGGGAAGCUCUUAAAUUAUUAGUGCCAUUCGCCACUUCAUACUGACAUUUUCUUCAAUGGUAGACAUUAAAACUAAAAAGAGAAAUAGACUGCAAUUAGAAAAUGAUUAAAUUAUUAAUGUUUCAAAAAUAACACCACAAUUUGAUAAAUUAAUAAAAAAUAAACAAGCAUAUCUUUCUCAUUAAAAUUGUGUUUUUGUUGUGUAAGAACCUCGACUUUUUCUUUCAGCUGGCGACUCCCCGAGUAAGGCUUUGCGACCCCCUUAGGGGUCGCGACCCACAGAUUGAAAAAAACUGAACUAAAGUAUCGCAUACAGGAAUAAACAGGAACUAAAGGAUGGUUUGCUGUAUGAGUGGAACCAAAUAACGGCUGAAACCAUAAAAAAUGUCGUACUUUCCAUGAACAAUCGGUUGGAGACGUUAGUACAGGCAAAGGAAACCCAAAUAACUAGUAAUAAGUAAUAUAUGUUAAUAGAUGUAAACUUUUCUGCAAAUCAAACUUAAGUGCAUUCUUGUUAGGUGUACGUAUGAUUUUCUGCGCUAAAGCAUUUUAUUUUAUAUUUAUAAAAUCAAAUAAAUAUUUGUGUUCUUAAACAUA